UGGGGAAUCUUGCACAAUGGGCGCAAGCCUGAUGCAGCCAUGCCGCGUGUUUGAAGAAGGCCUUCGGGUUGUAAAGUACUUUCAGUCGGGAGGAAGGUGGUAAGGUUAAUAACCUUGGCAAUUGACGUUACCGACAGAAGAAGCACCGGCUAACUCCGUGCCAGCAGCCGCGGUAAUACGGAGGGUGCAAGCGUUCAUCGGAAUUACUGGGCGUAAAGCGCACGCAGGCGGAUGAUUGAGUCAGAUGUGAAAGCCCCGGGCUUAACCCGGGAAUUGCAUCUGAUACUGGUCAGCUAGAGUCUUGUAGAGGGGGGUAGAAUUCCAUGUGUAGCGGUGAAAUGCGUAGAGAUGUGGAGGAAUACCGGUGGCGAAGGCGGCCCCCUGGACAAAGACUGACGCUCAGGUGCGAAAGCGUGGGGAGCAAACAGG
rnacentral:rRNA from 1 species